GGUUGAAGGUUGGGUAACACUAACUGGAGGACCGAACCGACUAAUGUUGAAAAAUUAGCGGAUGACUUGUGGCUGGGGGUGAAAGGCCAAUCAAACCGGGAGAUAGCUGGUUCUCCCCGAAAGCUAUUUAGGUAGCGCCUCGUGAACUCAUCUUCGGGGGUAGAGCACUGUUUCGGCUAGGGGGUCAUCCCGACUUACCAACCCGAUGCAAACUACGAAUACCGAAGAAUGUUAUCACGGGAGACACACGGCGGGUGCUAACGUCCGUCGUGAAGAGGGAAACAACCCAGACC
rnacentral:rRNA from 1 species